rnacentral:lncRNA from 1 species
CAGAGUCGGAGUUUCUUACUGAGGCUGAGAUCGUUUGUGAUGUUGUAUGCCUGGUAUAUGAUGUCACCAAUCCCAAGUCAUUUGAAUACUGCGCCAGGAUUUUUAAGCAACAUUUUAUGGACAGCAGAAUUCCCUGCUUAAUUGUAGCUGCAAAGUCAGACCUGCAUGAAGUCAAGCAAGAACACAGUGUCUCACCUACUGAUUUCUGCAGGAAACACAAAAUGCCUCCGCCUCAAGCCUUCACUUGUAACACUGCUGAUGCGCCCAGUAAGGAUAUCUUUGUUAAGCUGACAACGAUGGCCAUGUACCCAGAGGAUCAUUACAGAGGCAGCCUCUCCCGAGACAUGGGCAGCACUGAUAGAAUAGAGAAUUUGAGAAAAAUCUGGGUCUUUCUAAAAACUGCUUUGCACGUGACACAAGCUGACCUCAAGAGCUCAACAUUCUGGCUUCGAGCAAGCUUUGGUGCUACUGUCUUUGCAGUCGUGGGCUUUGCUAUGUACAGAGCACUAUUGAAACAGCGAUGAUUAAGAUCAAGAACCGGCCUCCCACACACACACUUCUAUGUACAUCCUGAAUGCUUUAAGUUCUGCUAGAGACACUGAGAUAUUUAUACAUGCAGAGUUACUUUAUUAAUAUUAGUAAUUCAUGCAUAAGAGUAUUUUACUCAUAGUAAUGACUGCAGUAUUGGCUGGCAUGUGGAAAGAAAACAUCUUAGUAGCCAAAUAUAAAUGGCUAAGUUUCAAAGGCCAAAAGGGAAUAUUCUGUAAAUAAUGUAAAUAUUCAAGCAAGAUAUGGUCUCCUGAACCGACUUCUAGAAAUGGUAUUUCCAGACAUUUCUCCAGUAGUGUUGUGUGGCCCACCUGCUAGGUUCAGUCCCAGGGGUUGU